GACGAACGCUGGCGGCGUGCUUAACACAUGCAAGUCGAACGGAAAGGCCCUGCUUUUGUGGGGUGCUCGAGUGGCGAACGGGUGAGUAACACGUGAGUAACCUGCCCUUGACUUUGGGAUAACUUCAGGAAACUGGGGCUAAUACCGGAUAGUAGCUCCUGCUGCAUGGUGGGGGUUGGAAAGUUUCGGCGGUUGGGGAUGGACUCGCGGCUUAUCAGCUUGUUGGUGGGGUAGUGGCUUACCAAGGCUUUGACGGGUAGCCGGCCUGAGAGGGUGACCGGCCACAUUGGGACUGAGAUACGGCCCAGACUCCUACGGGAGGCAGCAGUGGGAAAUAUUGCACAAUGGGCGGAAGCCUGAUGCAGCGACGCCGCGUGCGGGAUGACGGCCUUCGGGUUGUAAACCGCUUUCGCCUGUGACGAAGCGUGAGUGACGGUAAUGGGUAAAGAAGCACCGGCUAACUACGUG
rnacentral:rRNA from 1 species